UUUUUUUGCAUCUCUCUCACUUUCUCUCUUUUGGGUUUCUCUAGAAGUCGCCGAUUCGAGCCGAUUUUGCGCCCCAUUCGACGCUCGCUGAAUUGGAGACUCAAGGGAAGCUUUUGGAACGUAAGUUGGAGGCUCUUUACUAACUUUCUUGUGAUUAUUACCAGGGAAAGCUAAGUUGCGGCUUUUGAAAGGUAUAUUAUUUAAGAUUUCUCUAGUUUGCGGUUUAGUGUCGGAUUUUGAGUCGUUUCGGUUUUGUUGCUCCCAACUGAGUUGGAGGAGGAUUCCAGCAGCUAGAGAGGGGUUAUGUAGCUGUGAUUUCUCCACUUUAGUGCAGGGAAAAGCUGCUGUGAAGUUGGUUAAAGCAGGUUGUCGAUUCAAAUUGAGCUGAAUUUGUGACCUUGGGGACUAGUUUAGAAGGUGCUUCAACUAAGGCGGGAUUGCAAUCGACCUUUAGAUUAUCUUCGGUUGUCAUUGGAGAACCUUUAGAGGUUAAACGUGAGCAAGGUCGAGGCCUGGUUGAGCUGAAUUUUGGGACUCCUUUGGGCUGGUUUGAGUUUAAAUAGGGCCACCUACAGGAGAAGCUAGGGACCGCGGCAAGGGAGUCGCGUCUAGCUAGUCUUAGCUUGCUGGUUUUACUAGGUGAUCACCUUGCUACUCGUGCCACGGCCGAGGGUGAUGUCCCCGUGUAUAUAGAGAGACUACCAUUGUUCAUGUAUUUUAAGUAACCUUGUGAUGUAUAUAGUGGUUUGAACUAGGAAUUAUAGUUAUGAUAUUUCUUUUGGUGUUGAGAUUUUGGAUUC